UUUAUGGAGAGUUUGAUCCUGGCUCAGGAUGAACGCUGGCGGCGUGCCUAAUACAUGCAAGUCGAGCGAACGGACGAGAAGCUUGCUUCUCUGAUGUUAGCGGCGGACGGGUGAGUAACACGUGGAUAACCUACCUAUAAGACUGGGAUAACUUCGGGAAACCGGAGCUAAUACCGGAUAAUAUUUUGAACCGCAUGGUUCAAAAGUGAAAGACGGUCUUGCUGUCACUUAUAGAUGGAUCCGCGCUGCAUUAGCUAGUUGGUAAGGUAACGGCUUACCAAGGCAACGAUGCAUAGCCGACCUGAGAGGGUGAUCGGCCACACUGGAACUGAGACACGGUCCAGACUCCUACGGGAGGCAGCAGUAGGGAAUCUUCCGCAAUGGGCGAAAGCCUGACGGAGCAACGCCGCGUGAGUGAUGAAGGUCUUCGGAUCGUAAAACUCUGUUAUUAGGGAAGAACAUAUGUGUAAGUAACUGUGCACAUCUUGACGGUACCUAAUCAGAAAGCCACGGCUAACUACGUGCCAGCAGCCGCGGUAAUACGUAGGUGGCAAGCGUUAUCCGGAAUUAUUGGGCGUAAAGCGCGCGUAGGCGGUUUUUUAAGUCUGAUGUGAAA
rnacentral:rRNA from 1 species